AAGUCGUAACAAGGUUUCCGUAGGUGAACCUGCGGAAGGAUCAUUAUCACGUAUCCACGUAUAAACCAUUGUCGAACUGUUCUCAGCCUUUGGGGAUUGUUAAGGUAGUGUGUACUAAACAUUAAGCGUUUUUGAGUGAUUAAACGUGUUUAGUGCGCCACGAUAUGUAACCUCCGGGUUACUAUUGUACUUACUUUCUCUGGAGUGUAUUAAUCACUUAUUAUUAACCAUUUUAACAACAUCAUUAUAACUUCUGAACUAACCAAUUUAUACUCUGAAAAGAGAUAAAUUAAUUACGAAACAAAGAACAACUCUUAGCAACGGAUAUCUUGGUUCUC
rnacentral:misc_RNA from 1 species